ensembl:lincRNA
AUGAAGCAUAAACAAACUGACAAAUAUUGUUUAAAUUUAACACUAAAAUUCGAUGUGUAUGUCUCAGUUAUUGUUGUUGUCAUUCUUAUUUUCAGUCAGGGAGAUGGUUCCAGGAGAAGAAAAGAAAGUCAGUUGCUUUCUGAGAUCAGGUGGGAAGUUUAUCCUGUCAACUCCACCUUUAGAGUGCUAGUCUCUGGAGCCACAAGGACUGAAACUCUGCUUCAGAGACCCACCACUGAUGACAACCAUCAGGCUCAGGAACUGAAAAGAAAUGGUGCAAAUGUGGCCGAGGGACUUGGGUUUUACAUUUAUUGCCGAGUCUGGUUUUCUUGAGUUUCAGGUGAGUAAUAUUUUAAAGGGAGCUCCAUAAGAAUGAGGUUAAUCCAAGGUUGUCAUAUGUGGCUUUAUAUUAUUCUCUAGUUGGUUCACACAAAUUUGUUUUGUCUCCCAUACAAGAUCAUAAAAUUCUUCAAGGAUAAAGGUUAUUUCUCCUCUGUAGCCCAUAGUGUUAAGAAAGAACUUAAAGUAUUUGUUGAGAGUCAGCAAUGCUCUUUACUCAUUUGUUCUGUAUUUGAGUGUGUGUGUGUAUGUAUGUGUGUGUGUAUGUAUGUGUGUGUGUGUGUUCCUGUGUGUCUCCCCAGACAACUUAUAAACACUACCUGCAAAUUAAAAUAGAACCACCAUGUUUUAUUGCUAGUCCUAUCACCGCAUUUAAAAGACGAGGACAUUGAGAUCCAGGGAAGUUAAGUUACUUGCACAAGAAUAUUCAACUAGAAUAUGAUUUAAACUCGGAUCCACUUACAGCCCAUUCAGUAUUCUCCCCACGGUACCAAAUCCCCUUCUUGUUCUAACACAUUAGUAGAUAAAUGUUGACGGGUACAAAAAAAGAAGACAUCAGAAAUAGGUGGGGUGAAUCAGCCCUUAACUAUUAACAUCACUAUUGUUAUUAGCAAUACCUUAAAUAUUACCCUGCCCAUACAGCUGUUAAACUAUUAAGAUAAACACUCUUAACAGUUUCAUGUAUACCCCCACGUAAACAAUAACUGAAAGCAAGUUUGUGCCAUAUAUAUAUGUGCAUUUAUAUAUAAAUAUAUAUGCAUUUUCAGUUACACACACACACAUAUAUGCAUUUUCAAUUACACAAGAGGAAUUUUGCCAUAUAUAUUGCUCUGUACUUUACUCUUUUCAAUUGAUGAUAUUCCUUAGAGAUCUUUCUGUAUCAGCACAUGCAGAUCUAAUUCACACUUUUCAAAGGGCAUUUAUGGUUGGAUAUACCAUAACUUAUUUAACCACUCCCCUACUCAUGGGCACUUCGGUUGUUUCCAGAUUUAUGCUAAGAAAUGUGUACCUUUAACAACCUCUCCUGGAGGGGUUUUAAGUCACUAGCUUGACAUGAGAUCGGUAUUUUGAAAUCACCAAUAGUCGUAUGCCUUCAUUUUUACAGAUGAUAAAAUUGAAGCCCAGAGAAGCUUGGGAGCCUCAACUAUUAAUGGAAAAACCAUAACUAGAACUGAGUUUUCCUGAGACAUUUUUUACUAUUCAUUCCCCUGCUCUUGGGCCACUCCAGGGCACUGAGCACACUUGCUUUGGCUAUUUGGAGAAGAGGCCAAUAGACACAACUGGCUUCAUCUUCAGGGACACCCAAUAUCUGGCAGCCCUCAGCCCCAGCGGAGUCUUUAUUGAAAGAACUGAUUCAUAGACCAGGCGCGGUGGCUCACGCCUAUAAUCCCAACACUUUGGGAGGCUGCGGUGGGCGGAUCUCGGUCAGGAGAUCGAGACCAUCCUGGUUAACACGGUGAAACCCCAUCUCUACUAAAAAUACAAAAAUAAAAAAAUAGCUGGGUGUGGUGGCAGGCGCCUGUAGUCCCAGCACUUUGGGAGGCCGAGGUGGGCAGAUCACAAGGUCAGGAAUUCAAGACCAGCCUGACCAACAUGGUGAAACCCCAUCUCUACUAAAAAAAUACAAAAAUUAGCUGGGUGUGGUGGUGCACACCUGUAAUCCCAGCCACUCAGAAGGCUGAGGCAGGAGAAUUGCUUGAACCUAGGAGGGGAAGGUUGCAGUGAGCCAAGAUUGCGCCACUGCACUCCAGCCUGGUUGACAGAGCAAGACUCUGUCUCAAGAAAAAAAAAAAGAAAAAGAAAAAAAAAGAAAGAACUGAUUUAUGAAAAGAUUCUUAUCAUGAUUUUCAUUUUACUAGUCCAAAGAUCACUGAGUUAAACUGCCUAUUUUAGUAGAUGAACAAAAGCGCCUUGAAUAAAGACGUAAUUCAAUAAAAACUUAAUCCUCUCAUAAAAUUGAAUAUUCUCUGGUUCCCCAAUGAACCCCAAAACUUAUUAGAUUUCUUCUGCAGAUGAUGUGAGAUGGGUUGUUUUACUUAACUAACCCCAUUAUGCCUUUAAAAAUACAUUAUUAUUUAAAUGUUUACAUUUCUUUUAUCCUGCAAAUGUACAAAACAGCAAGCCUAGUGUUUCUGGGAAAGCAAGAGCUGGUAGAGGGAGUGAUCACAUGGGGAAUUUUCAGUUGCUCAUUCAGGAAUUAGGAACAAAAAGCAGAUUGGGGUAGUCCACAUGCAGCUCACGGAUCAUCCCGCGCAGUCAGUUCCUGCACGUAGCUGCAUAAGGAAUUUCUCACAGAGCAAGGAGGAGGGAGCAGCCAGGACAAGAGCUUUCUAGGGGUGAGGAUCUGAAAGCUGUGCUGACUUCUCAGGUUAGGUGCUUUUUGGUUGUUUGUUUUUAAAAAACAAAUAGAAUUUAUUUGCUAAACAGCAAAAAACAAAGUUUUCAGUUUGGUUUCAACCGUAAAAAUAAUAACAAUGUGUUUGUUAAUUUAUUUGUCAACCUGACUGAGCUAAGGGAUGCCCAGAUAGCUGGUGAAACAUUAUUUCUAAAUAUGUCUGUGAGGGUGUCUCUGGAAGAGAUUAGCAUUUGAGUCAAUAGGCUAAAUAAAGAAAAUCUGCCUUUACCAGUGUUGGGUAGGUAUCAUCCAAUCCACUGAGGACAACAAAAUGGUAGAGGAAGGGUGAAUUUUCCCUCUCUUUGGGGGCUGGUACAUCCAUCUUCUCUGCCCUUGAAUAUCAGAACUCCAAGUUCUUGAGCCUUUGAACUCUAGGAAUUAUAUCAGCACCUCCUCUUUUCAUCCCCCACCAGGGUUCUCUGACCUUUGAACUCAGAUUGAAUCAUACCACCAGCUUCUCUGGUUCUCCAACCUACAGACAAGGCUAUCAUGGGACUCCUCAGCUUUCAGAAUUGUGUGAGCCAAUUCCCGUGGUAAAUCCCCCCUUGUAUAUAUCUAUAUCUAACAUAUUUGUUCUGCUUCCCUGAAAAAAAAAACAACUAGUGAUCAUGCAUCGAGCACUUGCCCUGCAAGCAGUAUUUCCAGUGCUUUACAUGAUCACUGUUAUACACCUUAGGACAAGCUAAGAGACAAAUGAGAAAUGCUUGGGAACUUCUGCAUAUCAAUUUCUUAACAUCCUCCUAACCAUUACUAUGUUCCACAGGGUGGAUCCCACCACAGUCUUGGUUUGGGGGAGAUCUACAGCUAACAUCAACUCUGCACUGUCUUCCAGCCCCAGGACAGACACUGGGAACUGUUAUUUCUACCUUACUUCAACCCUGCAGUAGCCCAGGUCCCACUCUCUGUUUAUGCACACACACCCUUAGCCCCUAACGUGAGAAUUAUAUGUGGUAGUUUGAAAAGAGAUGAGCAAAGUUUAAGGGCACAAAGGGCCGUCCAUCAUUCCUUCUGGACAAGAUCAUCUAACAUAGCCCCUUAGGCCAAGAGACACAUGUCGUGUGUUCAGGAAAUGGUGGUGGGACCCUCACUCAACUCUCGUGUGGCUCACAAAGCCCCAGUGAAGGGUGGUGCUUGUGGCCUGAGGCCAGCCAACUUCUAAUGCUAUCACUAACCCUGUCCUUACGGUUCCCCUGGCCUCAUGUUGAGCCAUACCAACCCUUCUCUUUAGGCAGCUCCUCUCUCUUUCUUACCCUCUCUAGCUCAUCUGCCCAGAGCAGUUUUUAUCUAAUCUUGAAAGCCUUGUGGGUUUUUUGACCCUUUUUAAUUCUCUUUUCAACCUGUUGUCAUCAACCGUAGUCACUCUUUCUUCCGAGUGGUUUUUUUCAGAUUGUUUUCUCUACUAUGAGUCUAAAAAGACCAUUUUAGAAUUACAGAGCAGGAAUUCCACUUGCUCUGUAUUUGACUAUGUUAACUCUGAGGUUUAAAGAAAAAAAAUUCCUGGGAACAAAUAGCAUAUCUGUUAUUAUGUGCAAACACUUCCUGGCUAUAAAUGCUCUCUGACCUUCUCCAGAUUAUGCCUCUGAACUCAGAAAAAGGAAUUUUUAUUUCAAUAAAAUAACUUAAGACACACUCAAAAUCCUUGGAAAUGAUUGUCCUCUAACUCAUUAGGAUUUCUCUGCUUGCUUCUGUGGCUUUUCUAUUAAGCCAAAAGAUUCUAACUGUUCUUUCUCUUCAGGUAAAAUGUUUAGGUUUAAAGAUUCCCCAUGUCUGUCUUAGCAAGUGAGCAUCUCUGCCUCUAGGCAUAUUUUUUAAAUCUAUGAAGAAAACAUAAUGUUUCAUGCUUUAAGGGUUUAUUCAAACUCUUCAUCUAGUUUCUUCUAAUCAAAGC